GUCGAGCGGANGAAGAGAGCUUGCUCUNUGAUUCAGCGGCGGACGGGUGAGUAAUGCCUAGGAAUCUGCCUAUUAGUGGGGGACAACGUUUCNAAAGGAACGCUAAUACCGCAUACGUCCUACNGGANAAAGCAGGGGACCUUCNGGCCUUGCNCUNAUA
rnacentral:rRNA from 1 species